CUCGUAGGCGGCUUUGCAAGUCGGGUGUGAAACCUCCAGGCUCAACCUGGAGCCGCCACUCGAAACUGCAAUGGCUAGAGUCCGGUAGGGGACCAUGGAAUUCCUGGUGUAGCGGUGAAAUGCGCAGAUAUCAGGAGGAACACCAGUGGCGAAGGCGGUGGUCUGGGCCGGUACUGACGCUGAGGAGCGAAAGCGUGGGAGCGAACAGGAUUAGAUACCCUGGUAGUCCACGCCGUAAACGUUGGGCACUAGGUGUGGGACCCUAUCGACGGGUUCCGUGCCGUAGCUAACGCAUUAAGUGCCCCGCCUGGGGAGUACGGCCGCAAGGCUAAA
rnacentral:rRNA from 1 species